rnacentral:rRNA from 1 species
AACGAACGCUGGCGGCAUGCCUAACACAUGCAAGUCGAACGAGACCUUCGGGUCUAGUGGCGCACGGGUGCGUAACGCGUGGGAACCUGCCCUUAGGUUCGGAAUAACUCCCCGAAAGGGGUGCUAAUACCGGAUAAUGUCUUCGGACCAAAGAUUUAUCGCCUUUGGAUGGGCCCGCGUUGGAUUAGCUAGUUGGUAGGGUAAAAGCCUACCAAGGCGACGAUCCAUAGCUGGUCUGAGAGGAUGAUCAGCCACACUGGGACUGAGACACGGCCCAGACGAGGGGGGGAGGCAGCGGUGGGGAAGAGUGGACAAGGGGCGACAGCGAGAGCCCGGAGGGGUGGGGGAGUGAGGCAGGCGGUAGGGGUGUAAAGCUCUUUUACGGGGAAUGAGAAAGACAGGAGCGGGAGAAGACGCUACGCCUAACGCGGCACAAGCGACCGGGAUAGACGGACCCGCACCCGUGUGAAC